UACGGGGGGGGCAAGCGUUGUUCGGAAUUACUGGGCGUAAAGGGCUCGUAGGUGGCCAACUAAGUCAGACGUGAAAUCCCUCAGCUUAACUGGGGAGCUGCGUCUGAUACUGGAUGGCUUGAGUUUGGGAGAGGGAUGCGGAAUUCCAGGUGUAGCGGUGAAAUGCGUAGAUAUCUGGAGGAACACCGGUGGCGAAGGCGGCAUCCUGGACCAACACUGACACUGAGGAGCGAAAGCCAGGGGAGCAAACGGG
rnacentral:rRNA from 1 species